rnacentral:rRNA from 1 species
GACAGAGGGUGCAAACGUUGCUCGGAAUUACUGGGCGUAAAGCGCGUGUAGGUGGAUUGGUGUGUCAGAUGUGAAAUCCCUGGGCUCAACCCAGGAACUGCACCUGAAACUAUCAGUCUUGAGUGGUGGAGAGGGAAGUGGAAUUCCUGGUGUAGAGGUGAAAUUCGUAGAUAUCAGGAGGAACACCAGUGGCGAAGGCGGCUUCCUGGACACCAACUGACGCUGAGACGCGAGAGCGUGGGGAGCGAACAGG